rnacentral:rRNA from 1 species
GAAGGUGGCAAGCGUUGUUCGGGAUUUACUGGGGCGUAAAGGGGAGCGUAGGGCGGGUUUGGGUAAGCCCUUCGGGAAAUCUCCCGGCUUAACCGGGAAAGGUCGGAGGGGACUGCCCAGGCUAGAGGAUGGGAGAGGAGCGCGGAAUACCCGGUGUAGCGGUGAAAUGCGUAGAGAUCGGGAGGAAGGCCGGUGGCGAAGGCGGCGCUCUGGAACAUUCCUGACGCUGAGGCUCGAAAGCGUGGGGAGCAAACAGGAUUAGAUACCCUGGUAGUCCACGCCCUAAACGAUGGACACUAAGUGUCGGCGGGUUACCGCCGGUGCCGCAGCUAACGCAGUAAGUGUCCCGCCUGGGGAGUACGGCCGCAAGGUUG